rnacentral:rRNA from 1 species
CCUACGGGAGGCAGCAGUGGGGAAUAUUGCGCAAUGGGCGCAACCCUGACGCAGCAACGCCGCGUGUUUGAAGAAGGCCUUCGGGUUGUAAAGAUCUUUAAUCGGGGACGAAUUUUGACGGUACCCGACGAAUAAGCUCCGGCUAACUACGUGCCAGCAGCCGCGGUAAUACGUAGGGAGCAAGCGUGAUGCGGAUUUACUGGGUGGAAAGGGCGUGUAGGCGGGCAGGCAAGCCAGAAGUGAAAUCUGGGGGCUUAACCCGCCAACUGCUUUUGGGACUGGGUGUCUUGAGUGAUGGAGAGGCAGGCGGAAUUCCAAGUGUAGCGGUGAAAUGCGUAGAUAUUGGGAGGAACACCAGUGGCGAAGGCGGCCUGCUGGAC